rnacentral:rRNA from 1 species
AAUAUUGGACAAUGGGCGAAAGCCUGAUCCAGCCAUGCCGCGUGUGUGAAGAAGGUCUUCGGAUUGUAAAGCACUUUAAGUUGGGAGGAAGGGCAUUAACCUAAUACGUUAGUGUUUUGACGUUACCGACAGAAUAAGCACCGGCUAACUUCGUGCCAGCA